rnacentral:rRNA from 1 species
CCUACGGGAGGCAGCAGUGAGGAAUAUUGGUCAAUGGGCGCGAGCCUGAAGCAGCCAAGUAGCGUGAAGGAUGACUGCCCUACGGGCUGUAAACUUCUUUUAUAAAGGAAUAAAGUGAGGCACGUGUGCCUUUUUGUAUGUACUUUAUGUAUAAGGAUCGGCUAACUCCGUGCCAGCAGCCGCGGUAAUACGGUGGAUCCGAGCGUUAUCCGGAUUUAUUGGGUUUAAAGGGAGCGUAGAUGGGUUGUUAAGUCAGUUGUGAAAGUUUGCGGCUCAACGGUGAAAUUGCAAUUGAUACUGGCAGCCUUGAGUACAGUAGAGGAAGGCGGAAUUCGUGGUGUAGCGGUGAAAUGCGUAGAUAGCACGAAGAACACAGAUUGCGAAGGCAGCUUACUAAACUGCCACUGACAUUGAGGCUCGAAAGUGUGGGUAUCAAACAGGAUUAGAUACCCUGGUAGUC